AUUAAAGUUGUUGCGGUUAAAAAGCUCGUAGUCGAAUCUGUGUCCCGCGCCUUCGGUUCAUCGUACGCGGUGUUAACUGGUGUGCCGCGGGACGUCCUGCCGGUGGGCUUAGCUCGCAAGGGCGGCCCAACUCAAUCCCGCCGCGGUGCUCUUCACUGAGUGUCGAGGUGGGCCGGCACGUUUACUUUGAACAAAUUAGAGUGCUUAAAGCAGGCUAAAACUUCGCCUGAAUACUGUGUGCAUGGAAUAAUGGAAUAGGACCUCGGUUCUAUUUUGUUGGUUUUCGGAACCCCGAGGUAAUGAUUAAUAGGAACGGAUGGGGGCAUUCGUAUUGCGACGUUAGAGGUGAAAUUCUUGGAUCGUCGCAAGACGGACAGAAGCGAAAGCAU
rnacentral:rRNA from 1 species